GGGCGAAUGGUUUAGUGGUAUAAUACUCCCUUAGCACUAGGCGACUGCAGGACGUUGAGUCUUAGACAGUCAGUGCCGAGACUGGGAGUGGUCCAGGGUUCGAUUCCCUGUUCGUCCA